AUUUUAACUAGAUAACCAACAUUGAAAACCGUCUUUACAUUGGAUGGUUUGAUGGACGGGUGAGUAACGCAUAAGAACCUACCCUUGGGAGGGGAACAAUGGCUGGAACGGCUGCUAAUACCCCGUAUGCUAAGGAGUAAAAAGAGGAAUCCACCCAUGUGCGCAUGGGGGGGGGGGGCUUGUGUCUAAUUAGCUAGUUUAUGAGGUAAUAGCUUACCAAGGUAAUGAUCAGUUGCUGGUAUAAGAGAAUGAUUAGCCACACUGGGAUUGAGACAUGGCCCAGACUCUUACGGGAGGCAGCAAUGGGGAAUUUUUUGCCAUGGGUGCAAGCUUGAAAGAGCAAUGCCACGUGGAGGCAAAAGGCCUACAGGUCGUGAACUUCUUUUCCAGUGAAGAAGCAAUGAUGGUAUCUAGGGAAUAAGUAUCGAUUAAUUCUGUGCCAGCAGCUGCGGAGAAGAUCAC
rnacentral:rRNA from 1 species